CAUGAUCCUCAUUAGCCGCGACGCAUUCUGAUCCAGGGAAGAGCUUUUCAAAUAUUUAGACGCAGAUGCAGCCUUUGAUUUCUUCACCUUCGUUUCAUGUUCAGUCAGAGUAUCAUCCUCAUCUGGGACAGUAAAUGAGACAAGCAGUAAGGCCUUUGUUGUCCUCAGUUUUCUUCAUCUGAUGGUGGAUUUGAAGCUGAUGAAACCAUUCUAGGAGGAAUUGUCAGACACACGAGUGGUGAGCAGUGGCACUGGCAUCCACAUCUGCUGCCGCCUCUCUCGAAUCCGGGGGACCGGACUAGCUGCCUCUGCCUCUCUAACGGCAAAACCGUUGUUGACGCCACCGGUGAUGAUCACCAAUCAUCUUGCUUUCCCCCACGCGGAAGCAUUAUUCUAUUCCGGCGUCGCGUGCAGGUGGAUGCGGUACAUGUUUCUGGGACGACUGUAAGGUACACGGCGGAGUUCUGCAUCCGCAACCCGCUGCUCGGACACGCUUCCAUCUGCUGGUUUAUGAGAUCAUUUCCUAGAAGAUUGACACCCAAAUUUUUGGCUUUUGGUUGUCUGAACGUCUACCUUUUUGCUUGUGAAAAGG